GGUGAGUGGUGUCACCUCUUAGUACAUGAGGGUCCCACCUAUUAAUUGCAUAGGUUGUCAAUCAGGAGCUGAGAGUGUGGAGAGAUUUUAGUCUUCAUAUACUCUCAUAUGGGAAUAUUUAUUGUUUUUGACCUUUUCUGCAUGGCAUGGAUAGUUGCCAUAGCAUGAAGAUUGCUAAGUAUAGAAUACCUCAGCUUGGUAUGAAAAUGGCCAAGUAUAUCUCGGCUCAGCAUAAAUGAGGCUCAAAAUAACUCUUUUCAGCAUAAAUAAGACUCAGAAUAGCUCUUCUCAGCAUGAAUGAGGCUCAG
rnacentral:lncRNA from 1 species